GACGUAGGGCGCGAGCGUUGUCCGGAUUUAUUGGGCGUAAAGAGCUCGUAGGCGGCUUGUCGCGUCGAAUGUGAAAACUCGGGGCUCAACUCCGAGCUUGCAUUCGAUACGGGCAGGCUAGAGUUCGGUAGGGGAGACUGGAAUUCCUGGUGUAGCGGUGAAAUGCGCAGAUAUCAGGAGGAACACCGGUGGCGAAGGCGGGUCUCUGGGCAAUAACUGACGCUGAGGAGCGAAAGCGUGGGGAGCGAACAGG
rnacentral:rRNA from 1 species